GUGAGUCAUCGAAUCUUUGAACGCAAAUUGCACUCUCUGGCAACCCGGGGAGUAUGCCUGUUUGAGGGUCAGUGUUAAUAAAAAUCGGGUGCGUUGCAAUUUUUGUGACGUUUCCGGAGUUUGAGUUAUAUCUUAAUUAACUUCGGUUUUUUUAAGAGGCUUAAAAUUGACCUUUUUUUGUGCAUUUUAGACGUACAUAAAUUUUUUUUUAUUCCGUCCAUCCUAAUGCCAAAAUCUAUUAGAUGCGACCAUAUCUUGUGGUUCCGUGUCUAUAAAUUUUUCAUGAUUUGACCUCAAAUC
rnacentral:misc_RNA from 1 species